AUUGAACGCUGGCGGCAGGCCUAACACAUGCAAGUCGAACGAGUGGCGGACGGGUGAGUAAUAUUUGGGAACGUGCCUUAUAGAGGGGGAUAAAUACUCGAAAGGGUGGCUAAUACCGCAUACUAUCAGAUGUGCCUAUAGGGGAUUAGCUAGUUGGUGGGGUUAAGGUUCACCAAGGCCACGAUCCCUAGCUGGUCUGAGAGGAAGACCAGCAACACUGGGACUUAGACACGGCCCAGACUCCUACGGGAGGCAGCAGUGGGGAAUAUUGGACAAUGGGCGAAAGCCUGAUGCAGCCAUGCCGCGUGUAUGAAGAAGGCCUUCGGGUUGUAAAGUACUUUUGGCAGGGAGGCGUUACCUGCAGAAGAAGCACCGGCUAACUACGUGCCAGCAGCCGCGGUAAUAC
rnacentral:rRNA from 1 species